GCUCUCCAUUUUUGUGGUAUUUCACUUAGAAGAAUGGACUCCAGAACCUUACUAGUUCUCCAGUUUUCAUGGCUGAGUAGUACUCCACGCUAUAGCAACAAAUUUAAGGCCAAACUAAACCAUGUAUUCCCAAGAGCUGCAUGUCUUUGAUUGUCACCAAAUGUCAGUUGGAGUCUGGGACAACACUAGAGGCUGUGCCUGGAGAUUAAUUAAGCCAUUUGUGGGAGAUGAUGAUGAUGAUGAUGAUUAAGGAGAAGAAGGAUUGGAAGAUAUUGGUGAAGAAGGGGAUGAGGAUGAAGGUGAAGAAGAUGAAGAUGAUAAUGAAGGGGAGGAAGGAGAGAAGCAUGAAGACAAAGAUGACUGACAGAACAUUGAUGGACACCAAAUUUCCUUUUUAAAAAUUUCUCCAGGUCAUGGGAGUAAGUUGCAGUCUUGUUUUGUUUGUUUGUUUUUUCCUCUUGUGCCCAGUUCUUGAGGUCUCUUUCCUCUCCGCUCUGGUUCUCAACUUAUUUGGGGGGGAAUACCUGGAAUAGAAUCUAAGGGUAAAAGAAUCUCUACCACUUUCUCUUCCAAAUUCAUUUUUAUCCCUUCCAGUCCCCCCCAAAACUGUCUAGAAUCAACACCACCGAGCUCUGUGUGAAAAAAGAAAAACCUGCUCCCUUCGCUCUGCUGGAAGCUGGAGAGCACUCAGACCCUGUGUUGUAGUGCAUGGAAUUCUAGGUUUUUUCUUUCUCUCUAUAUUGGGCUCACAAAGUACACCAUAUCUACAAGCGAAUAUGGGCAGUUAGCAUUUACCAACAUGUAUCUAUCUACUUUCUCUUGUUUACAAAAAGAAAAGAAAACAUCAAAAAAUGGGGUUAUAGAAGGUCAGCAAAGGAUGGAUUUGAGAUGUUUUUGGGUAGGUUAAGUGGGCAAUUUGACAAUUUCUGCUUUACAUGUUUAAUUGUGAUGUUUAAUGGAGAUAGUUGCAGUUUAGAUGACAGUUUUAAAAUAAAUUCUCUGCUAAUGAUGAGUUGAGCCCUGCUACUUAAUGGGAGAAUUAGCAGAACCUGUAGGAUCUUACUUAGAAUUGACAUUCUCUAUUGAAAUUUUGUUCCUGUUUAUUUUAAAUUUUUUUUUGUUUCACUGAAAAUAAAAGAUGAUGCU